UUUCGGGCAUCCCAGACGUACAGCACCAUCAACCUACUACCCAGUGUUGACAUGCAAGACGAAGGACGCCUCUUUUCCAGAAUCCAUAGCUCUGUAAUUCGUUUUUUUACCUUGACAGCAAAUUCUUGUCCAGUUUUGAAUGGUGCGAAAUAUAGCUUGUUCCACGUCGUACAGACCUGUGACGAGGCAACGAGCUAUUGGUCUCCACUGCCCACAGGUUGUGACGUCGCAGGUCAGUGUUAAGGUCUUCUAUAACGAAGUGUCUCCCUUGAAUAA